ACCCGCUGAACUUAAGCAUAUCAAUAAGCGGAGGAAAAGAAACCAACAGGGAUUGCCCUAGUAACGGCGAGUGAAGCGGCAACAGCUCAAAUUUGAAAUCUGGCCUCGGCCCGAGUUGUAAUUUGCAGAGGAUGCUUCUGGCGCGGUGCCUUCCGAGUUCCCUGGAACGGGACGCCACAGAGGGUGAGAGCCCCGUAUGGUCGGACACCAAGCCUGUGUGAAGCUCCUUCGACGAGUCGAGUAGUUUGGGAAUGCUGCUCUAAAUGGGAGGUAAAUCUCUUCUAAAGCUAAAUACCGGCCAGAGACCGAUAGCGCACAAGUAGAGUGAUCGAAAGAUGAAAAGCACCUUGAAAAGGGGGUUAAAUAGUACGUGAAAUUGUUGAAAGGGAAGCACUUAUGACCAGACUUGGGCCGGGCGGCUCAUCAGGGGUUCUCCCCUGUGCACUCCGCCCGGCACAGGCCAGCAUCGGUUUUCGCGGGGGGAUAAGACCGGCGGGAACGUAGCACCCUCCGGGGUGUGUUAUAGCCCGUCGGACGAUACCCUCGCGGGGACCGAGGUCCGCGCUCCGCAAGGAUGCUGGCGUAAUGGUCAUCAGUGACCCGUCUUGAAACACGGACCAAGGAGUCGUCCAUUAGAGCGAGCGUUUGGGUGUAAAACCCGCACGCGUAAUGAAAGUGAACGCAGGUGAGAGCUUCGGCGCAUCAUCGACCGAUCCUGAUGUUCUCGGAAGGAUUUGAGUAAGAGUUUUAACGGACGGACCCGAAAGACAGUGAACUAUGCUUGUAUAGGGUGAAGCCAGAGGAAACUCUGGUGGAGGCUCGCAGCGGUUCUGACGUGCAAAUCGAUCGUCAAA
rnacentral:rRNA from 1 species